UACGGGGGGAGCAAGCGUUGUUCGGAUUUACUGGGCGUAAAGGGCGCGUAGGCGGCCUGUGCAAGUCAGUUGUGAGAUCUCCGAGCUUAACUCGGAACGGUCAACUGAUACUGCUCGGCUAGAGUGCGGAAGGGGCAACUGGAAUUCUUGGUGUAGCGGUGAAAUGCGUAGAUAUCAAGAGGAACACCUGCGGCGAAGGCGGGUUGCUGGGCCGACACUGACGCUGAUGCGCGAAAGCUAGGGGAGCGAAUGGG
rnacentral:rRNA from 1 species